CCUGGCUCAGGAUGAACGCUAGCGACAGGCUUAACACAUGCAAGUCGAGGGGCAGCACAGGUAGCAAUACCGGGUGGCGACCGGCGCACGGGUGAGUAACGCGUAUGCAACUUACCUAUCAGAGGGGGAUAACCCGGCGAAAGUCGGACUAAUACCGCAUGAAGCAGGGGCCCCGCAUGGGGAUAUUUGCUAAAGAUUCAUCGCUGAUAGAUAGGCAUGCGUUCCAUUAGGCAGUUGGCGGGGUAACGGCCCACCAAACCGACGAUGGAUAGGGGUUCUGAGAGGAAGGUCCCCCACAUUGGUACUGAGACACGGACCAAACUCCUACGGGAGGCAGCAGUGAGGAAUAUUGGUCAAUGGGCGUAAGCCUGAACCAGCCAAGUCGCGUGAGGGAUGAAGGUUCUAUGGAUCGUAAACCUCUUUUAUAAGGGAAUAAAGUGCGGGACGUGUCCCGUUUUGUAUGUACCUUAUGAAUAGGGAUCGGCUAACUCCGUGCCAGCAGCCGCGGUAAUACGGAGGAUCCGAGCGUUAUCCGGAUUUAUUGGGUUUAAAGGGUGCGUAGGCGGCCUUUUAAGUCAGCGGUGAAAGUCUGUGGCUCAACCAUAGAAUUGCCGUUGAAACUGGGAGGCUUGAGUAUGUUUGAGGCAGGCGGAAUGCGUGGUGUAGCGGUGAAAUGCUUAGAUAUCACGCAGAACCCCGAUUGCGAAGGCAGCCUGCCAAGCCAUGACUGACGCUGAUGCACGAAAGCGUGGGGAUCAAACAGGAUUAGAUACCCUGGUAGUCCACGCAGUAAACGAUGAUCACUAGCUGUUUGCGAUACAGUGUAAGCGGCACAGCGAAAGCGUUAAGUGAUCCACCUGGGGAGUACGCCGGCAACGGUGAAACUCAAAGGAAUUGACGGGGGCCCGCACAAGCGGAGGAACAUGUGGUUUAAUUCGAUGAUACGCGAGGAACCUUACCCGGGUUUGAACGCAUUCGGACCGAGGUGGAAACACCUUUUCUAGCAAUAGCCGUUUGCGAGGUGCUGCAUGGUUGUCGUCAGCUCGUGCCGUGAGGUGUCGGCUUAAGUGCCAUAACGAGCGCAACCCUUGCCACUAGUUACUAACAGGUAAAGCUGAGGACUCUGGUGGGACUGCCAGCGUAAGCUGCGAGGAAGGCGGGGAUGACGUCAAAUCAGCACGGCCCUUACAUCCGGGGCGACACACGUGUUACAAUGGCGUGGACAAAGGGAAGCCACCUGGCGACAGGGAGCGAAUCCCCAAACCACGUCUCAGUUCGGAUCGGAGUCUGCAACCCGACUCCGUGAAGCUGGAUUCGCUAGUAAUCGCGCAUCAGCCAUGGCGCGGUGAAUACGUUCCCGGGCCUUGCACACACCGCCC
rnacentral:rRNA from 1 species